rnacentral:rRNA from 1 species
AUGCUGGCGCUGUGCCCCUGCCUCCGCAUCCCCGGCCUCCACUCCUGCACGGGCAUCCAUCGAGUCGCGCCGAUGGGGCUCAGCAACCUCAGGAGCGUCACCAUCAUAGACUGCAUCUGCCUCACUGUGGUGGACUUGACGGUGGUUCCUAGCCUCCGGUCGUUCCGCUACAGCGGCGGUUUCUUCUCGUCCUUCCGUCUCCCCGGCGACGCAUUGUUCGCCGACCUCGACAUCCGUUUCGGCGUCCAGAAAAGCCGCAAUGUCCUCAUCUGUCAAAAGGUGUUCAGUGACUGGUUCGAAAGCCGUGUUUGCUCAAAACUCGCUACUCUCACCAUCUGCAGCAAUGUCCUCUUUGUUGUGUCUUCCUUGCUUAAUGCAACCUCACAUGACGAAUCGACCAAGAUGGGGGGCGACUUAUUUCAAAGCAUGACGGAACUACAAUUGCUUAUGUUUGAAAUGAAGGCCCCUGAGCUUGCAAACAUCUACGUGUUCCUCAAAAAGAGCGGCUUCUCUAAUCUAGAGCGGCUAUUUGUGCAGCUCCCUACUGCACCGAGCGGGCUCUUGGUGGAUUCGUUUGACUAUGUGGGGUUAGAGCCACCACCGGAUGUUUUGGAAAACCUCAAGGUGGUAAAGAUUACGAAUUUCAGUUGGAACCGCUAUGAGCUGCAGCUGGUGUUUUUUUUGUUGAGGAAGACUAGCUCUCUUCAUAAACUGGUACUGAUUACUUCCAGUUUGGAGCCGUUGCAUGUGCCCGGUAUCCAGAAGGCAGACCUUUUGUUUCUUGCACAAGCUGUGGCGAAUGGAAAAGUAAUUCUCAGUGGGUCUGACGAUGCGGCAACCCCGCCAUUUCAUUCAGAUGUCUCUGCCGACUUUUAG